UACGUAGGGUGCGAGCGUUGUCCGGAAUUAUUGGGCGUAAAGAGCUUGUAGGCGGUUUGUCGCGUCUGCCGUGAAAAUCCGGGGCUCAACCCCGGACUUGCGGUGGGUACGGGCAGACUAGAGUGUGGUAGGGGAGACUGGAAUUCCUGGUGUAGCGGUGAAAUGCGCAGAUAUCAGGAGGAACACCGAUGGCGAAGGCAGGUCUCUGGGCCACUACUGACGCUGAGGAGCGAAAGCGUGGGGAGCGAACAGG
rnacentral:rRNA from 1 species